UUGAUCUCAGCCGUUGAUUCACCAUAAGUUAUUAUUUAUGGAUCAAAUCUUGGCCGUGUAAAUCCUGCAGCAAUCUUGAUCUCCUGCUAAAAUUCGCUGAUGUUUUGGUUUCCCUUUUCACCCGUUUUCAUUCUACCAGCGCUUUUAAAUCGCUAGCACGUUCUCCCUUUCAUAUCUUUCUUCCGUUUUCCUUCGAUCGUGUGUGAGCAGAACCGGAACAGAGCACGGACGAGGCGAGGCAGAGCACGAACGAGGCGAAGCAGAUGAGAUUGAAGGCAGAUUUCAAUCUUCUGGGCUUUGGUUCUUUUCUUUUCUUUCGUCUUUCUGAGCUUUGUGAGUAUCUGAUUGUUGUUUUUUUAGGGGUUCUUUGCUUCUUGCAGAAAUUGGUGGAAUGAUCUUGGGUUUAGGGUUUCUGCCGCUCUUUCGAUCAUCAGGAUUUGGUCUGGACAGUCUUCCUUCCAAGGUUCCCUUUCCAGGUUUAGGGUUUUCGUUUUGAUUAAUCUGAACCAGAGCAUGUCAUUUCCGUCAUCAUCGUCCAGGGUUGACUGGACCUUGAACCUUGGCCUGUGCUAAAAUUCUAAUAGGACUCUCCUUAGAUCAAGAUGAUAGCAAGGAGCUUCUCUCAUGGGCAAUAAGAGUUCUAGCCAAUCCAAAUGACACCAUUGUGGUUGUGCACGUUCUUGUUGCUGAGGAUAAGAAGAAGCGCAUCUCGGUUAGAAGAAGGCAAUCACAGCUUAGGCAGGCAAAAGCAUAUGUUAUAUCUAUGGUUGCUGACUUCUUUAACAUCAAGAUGAUAGCAAGGAGCUUCUCUCAUGGGCAAUGAUAGUUCUAGCCAAUCCAAAUGGCACCAUUGUGGCUGUGCACGUUCUUGGUUAGUCACUAUUUUUCUACCCAAGAUAAGUUUGCGGCUCAAUUUAGCUAUUGAAUAAUUUUUUAAUACUAAUUCACAAACUGAACAUUAUAACAUCAUUGAUGAACACAGAUCAAACCAUCUAUUCAUAGUUUGAAUGUUUAGUGUUGUAAUCAACUUCUUUUGGUUGUUAUGGAUCUUAUGAUUGAUUGGACCUUGAACCUUGGCAUGUGCUUCGGGAUAGAUGCUGCGAGGAGAUUAUUCAGUAGCCUGAAAUUGCAUUUUCCCUCUGUUGGUUGCUGCCUGGGAUCAUGGUUGAGAAAGAGCUUUUAGUUUGUUGUUUCAUUGGCUGGCUGUGUAUUAAGUAGGCAUGUGGCAGGGCUGGCUAAUUUAUUGUUGUUCCUUGCUGCCAGUGUUAGUUUUUUUCCCCAGUGGUGGUCUUUGUGUUCUGAUGUGUGCUCUGUUCUGUUUGAUGUUUUUCCUUUAUCCGUCCUUUCACUUUUGCUGUACAGUUACAGCCUUCAUCUUUCUUUUCUUCUGCUUUGUACUUAAUUAUUGGGUUGUAGUGCCCCCUUAAGUACUACCUUAUUAUAUAUACUCAUUAUUUAGCCUUCCAAAAAAAAAAUUUAUUGUCCACCCUUUAAAAGUUUAGUUUUUGGCUUGGCUUUGCAAUUCAUGGCUUCUUCCUCUUUCCUCUCCUGCGAAUUUACCCCUGGGCCUAUAUGUCAAAUGAGAGUUUAGUAUGGAAUUGCAGAUAUGCUCAUGGUAUUUAAUUUAACAAAAAACUUUUUUUUUCAUUUGGAGUUCAAGGAUGAUUAUGACAUUUGGGAAUAGUUAAGCCUUUUUGCAAUGCAUGCCAAUGAGUAUAUAGUUUCUGAAAAGUUUCUUUUCAUGACUCUUUCUAGAUUCUUUUGUCUAUCCAGUUACUCACUACCUAUUUAUUUGUUGGUUUACUGCAAAAAAAUUCAGGAUACAAAUCUCAUGCUUUUGUGUUCAUUGCUUUCACACUUAGUGGCCUCCCAGGCACUGGGAACCAAAUGAGUCCAAUAUGUUACCAACAAGAACCGAGCACAAUGCAGGUUGUGCCAAGAAGAAGUCAAUGGUGGAGCACACACAAGAGGAUCAUGAAGCUCACACAUGGGAACAUCAAAUACAGUACCAAGUCAAGAUCCCAGAGAAUGUGCAACUGCAUGUGUUUAGUGAAGCUCCAUCCUCAAGCCCAUCUUCAUCUUCC